rnacentral:lncRNA from 10 species
CUCUUUCCUGCUGGACUUGAACCAGGGGAGAUGUAAGUCUGGGGCUGCUCUCACCUUCUUGCCGCUGUGUGGAGCCUGCAAAUGACAGUGAUUCCUGGAGGGGAGCAGAGCUGAGCACAUAGGUAUGGAGAAGAGACAGAGACGGGCACACAGAGACACAGAAGAAGGCCAUGUGUUGAUGGAGGCAGAGACUGGAGUGAUGCCGUCCCAAGCCAGGGAGUGCCUGGCUCCGCCAGGCACUGGAAGAGGCACUGAAUGGAUGCUUCUCGAGAGCCUUUGGAGGGAGCAUGACCCUGCUGACACCUUGAUUUUGCACUUCUGGCUUCUGGAACUAUGAGAGGGAGUCCUCUGUGGUAAACUGGUGGAGUCCAAAGCAAUUGUGUUUGACAAAUAAAACCGAAUGAUCUGGGUGAUGAAAACGUAAUAGCAAAAGACCAAUCCUGAAGAAUCCUCAGGGCCCGGGUGAGGAGGGAGGUGAAGCUCCAGCUCUGCUGUACCUAAAGUCUGACAAAUAAAAGUCCUGAGAAUGGAGGAGGUCUGG